rnacentral:rRNA from 1 species
AUACCGGCGGCUCGAGUGGUGGCCACUAUUACUGGGCUUAAAGCGUCCGUAGCUUGAUUGUUAAGUCUCUUGGGAAAUCCGCCGGCUUAACCGGCGGGCGUUUAGGAGAAACUGUCAAUCUAGGGACCGGGAGAGGCUAGAGGUACUCCAGGGGUAGGAGUGACAUCCUGUAAUCCUUGGGGGACCAGCUGUGGCGCAGGCGUCUCACUAGAACUGCUACGACAGUGAGGGACGAAAGCUGGGGGAGCAAACCGGAUUAGAUACCCGGGUAGUCCCAGCUGUAAACGAUGCGCGUUAGGUGUAUCGGUGACCACGAGUCAUCGAGGUGCCGAAGGGAAACCGUGAAACGUGCCGCCUGGGAAGUACGGUCGCAAGGCUGAAACUUAAAGGAAUUGGCGGGG